AGAAUCAACGCUGGCGGCGUGCCUAACACAUGCAAGUCGAACGAGAAAGUGGAGCAAUCCAUGAGUAAAGUGGCGCACGGGUGAGUAACACGUGACUAACCUACCCUUGAGUGGGGAAUAACUUCGGGAAACCGAGGCUAAUACCGCAUAACACCUACGGGUCAAAGGAGCAAUUCGCUUAAGGAGGGGGUCGCGGCAGAUUAGGUUAGUUGGCGGGGUAAUGGCCCACCAAGACGGUGAUCUGUA
rnacentral:rRNA from 1 species